CCUGUUGUCUGCUUUUGAUAUAAAUGGAGGUGGCGAAAAUGAUCAAUUUAUUGUCCCCUUUGGUGUGGAAUACCUGUAUUAUGAGAGGCUGAGAUCUGCUGCACUCAGUCAAGCUUCCGUCGAUGCCUUCGAAUAUAUGCUCUGUGAUCUUCUUGAAGCCGUAACUCGAAGACUUAUGUUUUUCAUGCGUGAUAUACGAACAACAUAUAAUAUCUGAGCUUGUUCGUAUGUACCGUGAAUCACACUUGGGCAACCGAAUGUUUGCCUAUAGGGGAACAGUGAGAAAUACUUGUGGGAAUCAACUUAUUCAGUUCCCCUAUAAUAACGAAGCAGAACUCAGCCGGCCUACAGGGCUCGUUUUCCGUAUCCGAGAGUUCCUCUGUAUCGAAAACUAGGAUAGUGUGAUAGGUGAUAGUGAUGUAAACAUAGAUGAUGUACCUGGUCAUGUAAAUCCUCUGAGGAUAGCUUUUUAUUCUGUAAUAUGGGUAUUCGUAACGUGCUGUAAUGAAAUUUUCAUUUUUUCGUUCAUAUCCGAACUGUUCCUUCUUUAUUAUGAAUGAGAUGUUGAGACUGUUUUCGUGGUUUUCUCUGAGAAGUCUACGAUAUUAUUUUUUCCUUCUUGCCUUUUAAUUGAUCCGACCCAGAAUCCAUUUAGCCAGUCUGAGUUUUCAGUUUACUCUUUCCGAGCUGUACCAACCGACCUGCGAGCUCGCUUUCGGUUUACUUUAUCCAAGCGAGACUAACCGACCUGCGAGCUCGCUUUCGGUUUACUUUAUCCCAGCGAGACUAACCGACCUGCGAGCUCUGCU
rnacentral:lncRNA from 1 species